AAAUCGUACCCCAAACCGACACAGGUGGUCAGGUAGAGAAUACCAAGGCGCUUGAGAGAACUCGGGUGAAGGAACUAGGCAAAAUGGUGCCGUAACUUCGGGAGAAGGCACGCUGAUAUGUAGGUGAAGUCCCUCGCGGAUGGAGCUGAAAUCAGUCGAAGAUACCAGCUGGCUGCAACUGUUUAUUAAAAACACAGCACUGUGCAAACACGAAAGUGGACGUAUACGGUGUGACGCCUGCCCGGUGCCGGAAGGUUAAUUGAUGGGGU
rnacentral:rRNA from 1 species